GAUCUGGCUCAGGAUGAACGCUAGCUACAGGCUUAACACAUGCAAGUCGAGGGGCAGCGGGAAGUCAGCUUGCUGACUUUGCCGGCGACCGGCGCACGGGUGAGUAACACGUAUCCAACCUCCCGCAUACUCGGGAAUAGCCUUUCGAAAGAAAGAUUAAUGCCCGAUGGUUUCAAGGGAUUGCAUGGUAUCUUGAAUAAAGAUUCAUCGGUAUGCGAUGGGGAUGCGUUCCA
rnacentral:rRNA from 1 species